rnacentral:rRNA from 1 species
CAAAAUGAGAGUUUGAUCCUGGCUCAGGAUGAACGCUGGCGGCGUGCCUAAUACAUGCAAGUCGAACGCUUUGUGGUUCAACUGAUAUGAAGAGCUUGCUCGGAUUUGAAGAUGAACAUUGCAAAGAGUGGCGAACGGGUGAGUAACACGUGGGAAACCUACCUCUUAGCGGGGGAUAACACUUGGAAACAAGUGCUAAUACCGCAUAAUACUGAUAACCGCAUGGUUAUCAGUUGAAAGAUGGUUCUGCUAUCACUAAGAGAUGGUCCCGCGGUGUAUUAGCUAGUUGGUAAGGUAAUGGCUUACCAAGGCAAUGAUACAUAGCCGAGUUGAGAGACUGAUCGGCCACAAUGGGACUGAGACACGGCCCAUACUCCUACGGGAGGCAGCAGUAGGGAAUCUUCCACAAUGGACGAAAGUCUGAUGGAGCAACGCCGCGUGUGUGAUGAAGGGUUUCGGCUCGUAAAACACUGUUGUAAGAGAAGAAUGACAUUGAGAGUAACUGUUCAGUGUGUGACGGUAUCUUACCAGAAAGGAACGGCUAAAUACGUGCCAGCAGCCGCGGUAAUACGUAUGUUCCAAGCGUUAUCCGGAUUUAUUGGGCGUAAAGCGAGCGCAGACGGUU